UACGUAGGGGGCAAGCGUUGUCCGGAAUCAUUGGGCGUAAAGAGCGUGUAGGCGGCCCGAUAAGUCCGUCGUGAAAGUCCAGGGCUCAACCCUGGAAUGCCGGUGGAUACUGUCGGGCUUGAGUCCGGAAGAGGCGAGUGGAAUUCCUGGUGUAGCGGUGAAAUGCGCAGAUAUCAGGAGGAACACCGGCGGCGAAGGCGGCACUCUGGGCCGGUACUGACGCUGAGGAGCGAAAGCGUGGGUAGCAAACAGG
rnacentral:rRNA from 1 species